GGCCAGGGACUAAUGAAAGUAUUUAGAAAAUUGGGCAGACUAGAUGGGCCGUAUGGUUCUUAUCUGCUGUCACAUUCUAUGUUUCUAUUUGAUUUACAGGCCUGAAAUCAUCCAAGAAUUAAGUUAUUUACUUAAUUUAGGGAUCUGACUCACUGAACUUGAGCCAAACUGAGAUAUGCAAAUCUGCUGUGAGUGAGUUGAUUAUUUGCUAAAGGGAAGUCUGUUUCAUAAUUCUAGCAUUUCCCCUUCUAUAUUACAAUCUGUGUAAUCACAAGCAUAAUUGUUUGUGUAUAUAUGUGUGUUAGUAUGUGUGUAUAUGUGUGUAUUGUAUGAAUGCAUGUCUCUAUUUGUGUGCUUAUGUAUGCAGCAUGUGAAGAUAAAUAUAUGUGUGUGUGUGCAUGUGUGCUUAAAGUGGCACUGUCACUAUCUGGCGACCCUUGCUGAAUUUGCAGAGAUGCCCGACAGUGGCAUCUCUGCAAAGGGUCUGGUGGUCGAGAGGGUGGUGGGGGAGGAAAAGGUAAUAUUUACUUAUUUGAACUUGUGGGCACGGUCUUCUUGUUAUGGUGUAUCCUCUUCAACCAUCACUGGUCAGGCGGAGCAAACAUAUUUAGACAUAGUAGUCUCUACUUUGUCUCUGUAUAUCUCUUGUUUUGUCAGUGAAAUCCAACACAGACAAAAUGAGUAUUUCUUAAAGAUUUUGCUCUAAGCUAUAUAGUCUUUAGUUCCAUAACUCAUGGUCAAGACCCAAAUGAGGGUUACAAGGAUCCUUUUGAUGGUUGUGGAAUCAGGGCAGGGCGUAGGGGUGUGAGAUCUGCAUAACCUUUUUGUUACUUCAUAUUACAACUAAACUUUAAUAAUUUUAAGAGGCUAUCAGAAUAUAAGCUUAUUUGAGAAGAGCCUUCUGUGUCUUCUGAUUCUGUACGUCCAAAUUGUCUUGUUGCAACUGCUUGUCUGUUAGUCCACCUAUUGUACAGUGUUGUAAAAUUUGUUGGCGCUUUAUAAAUAUUACACAAUAACAAUGACAACAAUAAAAAUGAUAAUGAUAUAAAAAUGUAGCUUUGCAACCUCCAAUUUAACUUAACUAGAAAACUUUAUCUAGAAAAUCGUACACACACAUAUAUUGAGAAACAGAGAAGAUAAAAAGGAGAAAGCAAGACUACAGAAGAACUUAGGGCUUCAACUAAAAUAAAAUGUCUAUAAACACAACAACCUGUUUUUUUGUGGAUUCUAUAUGCAUUACUUGACACUUUUAUUAAACACACUAUACUUCAAGACUUUUUUUUUCUUCAACUAAAAGUUACACCUUUCCUCAUUUACAUCAUACUCCAGUCUCACCUCUUCCUCCUCCUUAACCCAGUUUUUGAAUUUCAUCUGCUCUACUAUACAUAUGUGUUGAAAAAUUUAUUUUUUAAAUUGCUCAUUAUUGAUAUGACUUUAUGAAUGUAUUUUUAAAUAUGCUUAAAUAUUGCUAUUGCUUUUUAUCUGCUUCUGAAAUGUCUCAUUGUAUUUUGUAAUGAAAUGAAAUAAAAUUGACUAAAUCA